GUUGUGAUACGGCACAUGGCAGAAAGAUACACAGUCAAUACUUUCGAUUCCAGUUCCAGAGGCGGCGCAGACAGCAUCUGCAAGAUGUAUACGUGGGACGAGUGGUCAAACCGCAAUAGUUCAUGUCGGGAGGGAUGCUGAUCAUAUCAACAGCGAUCCCCCAUGGAGCAGCAGGGAGACUGAGACCACUGUUUGAUCUGGCCUUGUUACUGGCAUCUGAAGGAUGAACGCUCUGCUCCGCACAACACAAAAUGAUCCAGGGUGAGAGAGAGAGCUUGCAAAAUCUUCUCUCCUCCCAAUGGCAAAAGGUGUAUAAUUGCAGCAACUUGUUUAAAACUGCAACAUUUUCUCUACGCCCCAUGGCAAAAAUUUGUACAAUUACAGGAAAUGAACUCAAAAACGUUUGUUUUCCCUCCUCCGUCAAAAUUUUGCUUAGGUCCCUCAAAAGGCUGUAAACGUGUUUGUCUAAGGUGUUUUGCAUAUAAAUUAUUUAACCUAACACAAAGUGACAUUUAAAGUGCCAUGCUUAUGCCGGUAAAUGUGUGUCUUGGAUUGACAUUGCUUUUGUUUCUUUCUGAAGACAAUUCUGAGACAGAUCUUAAGGGUGCUGGCUGACAUGGCUUGUUUUUCUCCAACAGAGUGAUUAUUUAUGAAAUUGUCAAAUUGAAAUUAAUUGCACUUGUAUGUCACUCUGGAUAAGAUUACUAAAAUUACUCAAAUGUAAAUCAGCCUGGAAGUGAGUUAGAGAAACAUUGUCUUUGCAGAAAUACACAUAUUGUAAUAUUUACAUGUGAUAUGUAUGUGCAAUAUGUGCAUCAUACGUGUGGAUACAGCUUUUUCUCAGAAAUAGGUUGCAAAGGGACGGUAUAUUACUGGAAACGUUUUAAGUGUACUAGUAAAUUACCAGAAUUUUGGUAUCUUUCAAGGAUUUUAUCAAGGAUUUUAUCCAGUGGCCCUUUUGGGUACUUCAGAUUAUCACAGGUGUCUGUAAUUAUCUCUGCCCCUCUGUGUGGCCUUAUCACAUGUAAAAUAUCUGAAAUAAUUAAAUAAUAUUAUUUAAAAAUAGAAUGACAAAGCUGUAAAAGGUUAUCCUAAAUAUAAACCAUCAACUUAGUGAAUACCAUUGGUGUUUCAGCAUUAAAUAUAUAUAUUUUUUUUU